CCUACGGGGGGCUGCAGUGGGGAAUAUUGGACAAUGGGGGGAACCCUGAUCCAGCCAUGCCGCGUGUGUGAAGAAGGCCCUCGGGUUGUAAAGCACUUUCAGUGAGGAAGAACACCUGGUGGUUAAUACCCAUCGGGAAAGACAUCACUCACAGAAGAAGCACCGGCUAACUCCGUGCCAGCAGCCGCGGUAAUACGGAGGGUGCGAGCGUUAAUCGGAAUUACUGGGCGUAAAGCGCGCGUAGGUGGCUUGAUAAGCCGGUUGUGAAAGCCCCGGGCUCAACCUGGGAACGGCAUCCGGAACUGUCAAGCUAGAGUGCAGGAGAGGAAGGUAGAAUUCCCGGUGUAGCGGUGAAAUGCGUAGAGAUCGGGAGGAAUACCAGUGGCGAAGGCGGCCUUCUGGACUGACACUGACACUGAGGUGCGAAAGCGUGGGUAGCAAACAGGAUUAGAUACCCUGGUAGUC
rnacentral:rRNA from 1 species